rnacentral:rRNA from 1 species
UACAGAGGGGGCAAGCGUUAUUCGGAAUUAUUGGGCGUAAAGGGCGCGUAGGCGGCUUUGCAAGUGACGGGUGAAAUCCCUGGGCUUAACCCAGGAACUGCGUCCGAUACUGGCAGGCUUGAAUUCGGGAGAGGGAUGUGGAAUUCCAGGUGUAGCGGUGAAAUGCGUGAGAUAUCUGGAAGAACACCCGUGGCGAAGGCGGCUCUCUGGAACGCAACUGACGCUGAGACGCGAAAGCGUGGGGAGCGAUCCGG